UACAUAUAAUUAUCUCAAACAAAACGACUUGUGAAAGAAAGAAAAAAAUAUGGAGAAGGCAUCUCCACUUAUAGUUUUAUUCAUCUUCUUUAUCAUCCUUGCUUACGGUGCAAAUGAGGUGAUGGCAAAUAUUUGUCAGGAAUCUCUAGGUGGUUGUGAUCAAUGUAAUGAGAGAUGCAAGGCUAAGCGCGGACCAAAGUCCGAAGGUGAUUGUCAAAGCCGGAUAUAUAACUUAUGCAUGUGCAAUUACCAAUGUGGACCGCCGCCGCCACCACCAGAACCCAAAGUUUGCUACGGCGGGGCUGGCCUGUGUAGCCAAAAAUGUUCGAACAAUUGUUGCAACCAAAUUUGUGCAAAUAAGUAUUCGCGUGGAAAUGGAUUUUGUGAGAAGAUUGGCUCUAUUAAUCUCUGCAAAUGUCAAUAUCCUUGUUAGAACUGUAAAACUUGGUCAAAAAUUUUUAAAGUAAAAUAUGGUCAAAUAUUUUUGAAAGAAAAAU